rnacentral:rRNA from 1 species
CUCAAAGGAAUUGACGGGGGCCCGCACAAGCGGUGGAGUAUGUGGUUUAAUUCGAUGCAACGCGAAGAACCUUACCUGGCCUUGACAUGUCCGGAACCCUGCAGAGAUGCGGGGGUGCCUUCGGGAAUCGGAACACAGGUGCUGCAUGGCUGUCGUCAGCUCGUGUCGUGAGAUGUUGGGUUAAGUCCCGCAACGAGCGCAACCCUUAUCCUUAGUUGCCAGCGCGUAAUGGCGGGAACUCUAGGGAGACUGCCGGUGACAAACCGGAGGAAGGCGGGGACGACGUCAAGUCAUCAUGGCCCUUACGGCCAGGGCUACACACGUACUACAAUGGUCGGUACAAAGGGUUGCUAAGCCGCGAGGCCACGCCAAUCUCAAAAAACCGAUCGUAGUCCAGAUUGCAGUCUGCAACUCGACUGCAUGAAGUCGGAAUCGCUAGUAAUCGCGGAUCAGAAUGCCGCGGUGAAUACGUUCCCGGGCCUUGUACACACCGCCCGUCACACCAUGGGAGUCUGUUGCACCA